GACGAACGCUGGCGGCGUGCUUAACACAUGCAAGUCGAACGGAAAGGCCCUGCUUUUGUGGGGUGCUCGAGUGGCGAACGGGUGAGUAACACGUGAGUAACCUGCCCUUGACUUUGGGAUAACUUCAGGAAACUGGGGCUAAUACCGGAUAGGAGCUCCUGCUGCAUGGUGGGGGUUGGAAAGUUUCGGCGGUUGGGGAUGGACUCGCGGCUUAUCAGCUUGUUGGUGGGGUAGUGGCUUACCAAGGCUUUGACGGGUAGCCGGCCUGAGAGGGUGACCGGCCACAUUAGGACUGAGAUGCGGCCCAGACUCCUACGGGAGGCAGGAGUGGGGAAUAGUGCACAGUGGGCGGGAGCCUGAUGCAGCAACGCCGCGUGCGGGAUGUCGGCCUUCGGGUUGUAAACCGCUUUCGCCUGUGACGAGGCGUGAGUGACGGUAAUGGGUAAAGAAGCACCGGCUAACUACGUG
rnacentral:rRNA from 1 species